AGCUCGAUAACUAUUCUUUGUGUAAAUCCUGCAAGUUAGUCCAGUCUGCUGUCACCAUGUCUCCGGCGCGAGACCUCCGGCGGGACUGGGUGUCGCGCGUGUCAUCACCUCUGAUCCUCACGAUAGAUGGUCCCUCCUCCUCCAGCACUGAAGUGGUUUGGUCCGAGCAGCGUGGAAUCCUUUUCUUAACCCCUUACCGCGGUUAAAAUAGAUAGCUUUGAGAACAGAAGGGAACCUAUAGAGCUGACGAGACAAAAGAAAGAUGUCUCAGACCCCUCUGCUAAAUGUCCCUGUGGCCACAACACACCACCAAAGUGACAGGGAGGUCAGAGGGAAAGGUUAACUAUUCAAAGGCUCCCAUAGGAAACCGUGUUGCUCAAGGGAACUCCAGAAGGGAAAAUGCCAGAUAAAAAGGAGGACGUACUGUACAGAAACCCGACUGGACAAUUUGAAUAAUUUUGUGAAAAAAUUGUUACAUACACAAUAAGAUGUUUAAAAUUAAUGCUGCUCUAGUCAGUCCUGAAUAUUUGAUACAAUUGUUGCAGAAAAUUGUCCUUUCCGUACCAGUCUGUGAAGCUGUGAUUUACCUUUCCCCUGUUGGACAACCACUAACAAAAAUGUGGUAUAAUUUUAA